rnacentral:rRNA from 1 species
GCCUAACCUAACACACAAUAAAAUAACCAAUUGUUCGCCAAACAACUACGAGUAAAAACUUAAAACUUAAAAGACUUGACGGUACUUCACACCACCCUAGAGGAGCCUGUCUAAUAACCGAUACCCCACGAUUAACCCAACCCCCCCUAGCCAAACAGUCUAUAUACCGCCAUCGCCAGCUUACCUUGUGAAAGAAACAAAGUAAACGUAACAGCCACCACUAACACGAUAGGUCGAGGUGUAACUAAUGGGCGGGAAGAAAGAUGGGCUACAUUUUCUAAUACAGAAAAUACGAAUAAACCAUGAAAAUAGAAACCGAAGGCGGAUUUAGCAGUAUGUUAAGGACAAAAUGCUUAACCGAAAUUAACGCAAUGAAGUGCGUACACACCGCCCGUCAUCCCUGUCAAAAACAAUAAAACUACAUAAACACAUUAAACCGAUUAAACAGGGCAAGUCGUAACAUGGUAAGCGUACUGGAAAGUGCACUUAGAAA